AUGGCCGGCGGCGCGGACGCGGACGGGGAGCGCCGGAUCGGGGUGGCCAUGGACUACUCAGCCAGCAGCAAGAGGGCGCUGGAGUGGGCCGUCCGGAACCUGCUCCGCCGGGGCGACACCGUCGUCGUCCUCCACGUCCAGCGCCACGGCGGGGAGGAGGCCAAGCACGCCGUCUGGGCCAAGUCCGGAUCCCCGCUGAUCCCUCUGUCCGAGUACCGGGAGCCGGAGGUGAUGAAGAACUACGGCGUCACCUGCGACGCCGAGGUGCUCGACAUGCUCGACACCGCCGCGCGCCAGCUCGAGCUGAAGGUGGUGGCCAAGGUGUACUGGGGCGACGCCAGGGAGAAGCUCUGCGACGCGGUGGAGGAGCAGAAGAUCGACACCAUCGUCAUGGGCAGCCGCGGCCUCGGCACCAUCCAGAGGAUUCUUCUGGGAAGCGUGACGAACUACGUGCUGUCGAACGCGUCGUGCCCUGUGACAGUCGUCAAGGGAGACCGUUAG
rnacentral:rRNA from 1 species